UACGUAGGGUGCAAGCGUUGUCCGGAAUCAUUGGGCGUAAAGAGCGUGUAGGCGGCUCGAUCAGUCUGCUGUGAAAGCCCAGGGCUCAACCCUGGGAUGCCGGUAGAUACUGUCGAGCUAGAGUCCGGAAGAGGCGAGUGGAAUUCCUGGUGUAGCGGUGAAAUGCGCAGAUAUCAGGAGGAACACCAAUGGCGAAGGCAGCUCGCUGGGACGGUACUGACGCUGAGACGCGAAAGCGUAGGGAGCAAACAGG
rnacentral:rRNA from 1 species